rnacentral:lncRNA from 1 species
AUCACAUUCUAGGAGACAAAACAAGUUUAGUAAAUUUUAAAGGAUUCAAGUCUAACAAAGUAUGAAGUUAAACUAGAAAUCAAUAAUAGAAUAUCUCCAGAAAAACUGCUAACCAUUUGGAAACUAAUUUACACACUUCUAAGUAACAGAGCUUUCUUGAGCAUCGCAGAACCUGGGCACAGGGAGGCCAGAGUCAGCGAGUCUACAGGCUGGAUGUUACAAAGGUUUCCAGAGUAGGGGAAAUCAAGAGCACAAUGUGACGUCAGCCUUUCCGGAGCCUCAAGGACAUUCAAAGGCUUUGUUUUUCAUUCAGCUAUUGAGCUACUGAGAAACACUUCAAUCCUGUAUCCUCAAAACACUAGCAACAAAGGCUGAGUAUGGAAGCUUACGUUACUGAUUUCAGACCUUUCUUCUCUUAGGAUGCAUCCUCACAAAUCCAGUGGAAUCAGAGGUACCCUAACAGUUGAAUAGUUCUAUCUUUCUCUCUCAUUCAAGGCUGGAAUCUGACAUCUACUAAUACUGAGAAAUCAUGACACCUCCACAACAUGGUUGGUGAAUGGAGUAGGUCCACACCCGGGAUCCAAACCUGUGAACCCAGGCCACUGAAGCGGAGUGUAGGGAACUUUAUACUUGACCAUGGGGCUGGGCCCUAAUGUUGGAUUUGCAUCUGCCACUUUGCUUUUUAAUUUUUAUGUCUCAUAUAUUUUUAUUUCCUCUGUUGCUUCUUUACUGUAUUUUUUUGCAGCAAAUACAUACUUUCUAUUUCAUCAUUUUUAUUCCGUUAUUACCAUUGUUGUUUUCACCAUAUUUUGGGUGUUAUUUUCUUAGCGUUUUUUCUGGAGAUUACAAUAUGUAUCUUAAUUUAUCACAACCAACUUCAGAUCAAUAUUAACAAUUCCAGUAAAACAUAGAUUUUUUUCCAACAAAGCUCCUCUUUUCCCUUCUCCUUUGUGAUAUUAUUACCAUUUCUAUUACAUACACACACGUUAAGGUUCAAC